GGUCAAUGAUGAGAAGUAAAAGGUCUGAUUACCCACAAUCCUCUCCCAGCUGCCCUCUGGCUCCCAGCAGCCCCCUGCUCUCUGCUCCCAUCAUGCUCUAGCAGUGCAGUGCUGGUCGUAGGAGCUGCUGACAGACAGACAGGAUGUGACAUCACAGCUCUGAGUCUGUACACAGAUCCUACAGGCUCGGUGUGAUGAUGAUGACGGACAUCCAACACAACCAAUCAGAGCGGAGCGUCGGGGUGAAGUGAGGGGGAGGAGGAGGAGCUGAUCUCAAGUUUUCAAGCUGAGACC